AAUGGAAACUUCGCUUGUCAUUUAUUUAAAACAGAUGCAUUUUAUUACAAAUUAUUAAGAGGAAUUUACACACCAUAUGGCAUUGUGCAAGACUAUUGUAGAAGAUGAAACUAAAUCAGAAUUGAAUAAGAAGACACUAUUUCAAACACCAAAUAGAAGAAGGAAUACAAAAAAAAGAAAUAUGAAUAAUAAUUUGUUUACAUUUAAGUAUACCUAUUUUAUCAAUUAUUUUAAAUCACCAUUUUGUAUUUUUACCUAAAUUAUAUCACCUAUUUAUUUCUUAAAAAGGACUUAAACUAUUAAAUUUUAAAAUUGAAUUUAUUAGCAUUUUCGUCAGUUUAGUAGAUUUAUAAAAAACAUUUUAUUUAUUUGAACUGUUGUGUUGUGGUAUGCCACAUUAUUAUAAUAAAAUAAAAU